AGCCGAGCCUUGACCUUUAAAAGGAAGCACUACCCCUUUGUCCAAGUGCCUUAUAACAUGUCUUUAUAACUGGCUGUGUAAGAAUGAAGAAAAGCUGUCCAUCUUCUGAGAAGGAAGCAGCAUGUGCCAUCCUUCUGUCAGAAAACACCAAAGAGAUGAAGAAAUGAGAAAUCCAGAAACCAAAGACCUUGCUCUUUUGUCAAACAGACUUGGUAGAGCAGAGUUGCAAAAUCAGACCUUUGGGGGCUUGCGUGUUUCUCCUCUUACUCCCUGGUGUAGACCUCAGGACGAGGACAUGCAGAAAAAGUGCUGAGUGUUCUUUAAAGCAGUAGCAAACCAUGGGUUUGGCUGGUGAUUUCCUGCUUGGUCGUCUUUUAAAACCCAGCCAUCUGAAUCCGAGAGUUGCUUCUUCAGCAAGGCCUCCCCUGACUCCUUCAGAUGUCUAAGCACCACCCCUACUCUUCUGCUGCAGCAUCUCCACUUGCUUUUGUCCUUCAUCUCCCUGAAAUUAUUUGCUUACUCAUCCAUCCAUGUCAGUUGCAAAAGCAUGACUUCCUCUAGUCCAAAGGCCAUUCAUGUUCAAUAUGUUAGCACUCGGAGCGUCUCCAGUGGUUGUUUCAAACAAGGCAAAUGAGUUCAGUUGAACUUUAUAUGUUCUGCCCUCCGACUGUGACUGUUAUUUACUUCCCUCCAAACAAAA
rnacentral:lncRNA from 1 species